rnacentral:rRNA from 1 species
CUACGGGAGGCAGCAGUGGGGAAUAUUGCACAAUGGGCGCAAGCCUGAUGCGGCCAUGCCGCGUGUAUGAAGAAGGCCUUCGGGUUGUAAAGUACUUUCAGCGGGGAGGAAGGGAGUAAAGUUAAUACCUUUGCUCAUUGACGUUACCCGCAGAAGAAGCACCGGCUAACUCCGUGCCAGCAGCCGCGGUAAUACGGAGGGUGCAAGCGGUAAUCGGAAUUACUGGGCGUAAAGCGCACGCAGGCGGUUUGUUAAGUCAGAUGUGAAAUCCCCGGGCUCAACCUGGGAACUGCAUCUGAUACUGGUAAGCUUGAGUCUCGUAGAGGGGGGUAGAAUUCCAGGUGUAGCGGUGAAAUGCGUAGAGAUCUGGAGGAAUACCGGUGGCGAAGGCGGCCCCCUGGACGAAGGCUGACGCUCAGGUGCGAAAGCGUGGGGAGCAAACAGGAUUAGAUACCCGAGUAGUC